UGGGGGAUAUUGCGCAAUGGGGGGAACCCUGACGCAGCAACGCCGCGUGAAGGAAGAAGGUUUUCGGACUGUAAACUUCUUUGGCGGGGGACGAUAAAAAGACGGUACCCCGAGAACAAGCCACGGCUAACUACGUGCCAGCAGCCGCGGUAAUACGUAGGUGGCGAGCGUUGUCCGGAAUUACUGGGUGUAAAGGGCGAGUAGGCGGAUAUGAAAGUCAGGUGUGAAAUACCCGGGCUUAACCCGGGGGCUGCAUUUGAAACUUUGUAUCUUGAGUGAUGGAGAGGGAAGCGGAAUUCCUAGUGUAGCGGUGAAAUGCGUAGAUAUUAGGAGGAACACCAGUGGCGAAGGCGGCUUUCUGGACAUCAACUGACGCUGAGGCGCGAAAGCGUGGGGAGCAAACAGG
rnacentral:rRNA from 2 species